rnacentral:rRNA from 1 species
AGUCCCGUAACGAGCGCAACCCUUGUCCCUAGUUGCUAGCAGGUAAUGCUGAGAACUCUAGGGAGACUGCCGGUGACAAACCGGAGGAAGGUGGGGACGACGUCAAGUCAUCAUGGCCCUUACGUCCUGGGCUACACACGUGCUACAAUGGUUGGUACAGACGGUCGCUAAGCCGCGAGGUGGAGCUAAUCCGAGAAAACCAAUCGUAGUCCGGAUCGGAGUCUGCAACUCGACUCCGUGAAGUCGGAAUCGUUAGUAAUCGUGAAUCAGAAUGUCACGGUGAAUACGUCCCGGGCCUUGUACACACCGCCCGUCACACCAUGGGAGUGGGUUGCUCCAGAAGUGGUUAGUUUUUCUUUUCAGAGGAAGAUUGGUCCUACCCCAAU